rnacentral:rRNA from 1 species
GCCCUAGGGGGGGCAGCAGUCGCGAAUCUUCUGCAAUGCACGCAAGUGUGACAGAGCGAGCCAAAGUGCUUUCCGCACAGGAAAGCUUUUGCUAAGUGUAAAAAGCUUGGCGAAUAAGGACCGGGCAAGACUGGUGCCAGCCGCCGCGGUAAUCCCAGCGGUCCAAGUUGCAGCCAACUUUAUUGGGUCUAAAACAUCCGUAGCUUGUUUGCUAAGUUUCUUGUGAAAUCUUAUUUCUCAAGGAUAAGGCGCGCAGGAAAUACUGACAAACUAGAGACCGGUAGAUGUAAAGAGUAUGUUUGAGGUAGUGGUUAAAUACGUUAAUCUUAGACAGACUAACAAUCAGCGAAGGCACUUUACAAGGACGGAUCUGACAGUGAGGGAUGAAGGCCAGGGGCGCAAAACGGAUUAGAUACCCGUGUAGUCCUGGCAGUAAACACUGUUCACUAAACAUCGGGCCCUCUUCGGGAGGAUUCGGUGCUGAAGCGAAGGCGAAGAGUGAACUACCUGGGAAGUAUAGUCGCAAGGUCGAAACUUAAAGGAAUAGGCGGGGAGACAUACAACGAGUGACGCGUGCGGUUCAAUUAGAUUCUACACCGUGAACCUCACCAGGAGCGACAGCAGAAUGAAGGUCAGUCUAAAGGGCUUACCUGACACGCUGAGCGGCGGUGCAUGGCC